AUUGAACGCUGGCGGCAUGCCUUACACAUGCAAGUCGAACGGUAACAGGUCUUCGGAUGCUGACGAGUGGCGAACGGGUGAGUAAUACAUCGGAACGUGCCUAGUAGUGGUGGAUAACUACUCGAAAGAGUGGCUAAUACCGCAUGAGAUCUACGGAUGAAAGCAGGGGAUCGCAAGACCUUGUGCUACUGGAACGGCCGAUGGCAGAUUAGGUAGUUGGUGGGAUAAAAGCUUACCAAGCCGACGAUCUGUAGCUGGUCUGAGAGGACGAUCAGCCACACUGGGACUGAGACUCGGCCCAGACUCCUACGGGAGGCAGCAGUGGGGAAUUUUGGACAAUGGGCGCAAGCCUGAUCCAGCAAUGCCGCGUGCAGGAUGAAGGCCUUCGGGUUGUAAACUGCUUUUGUACGGAACGAAAAGCCCUGGGUUAAUACCCUGGGGUCAUGACGGUACCGUAAGAAUAAGCACCGGCUAACUACGUGCCAGCCGCCGCGGUAA
rnacentral:rRNA from 1 species